rnacentral:RNase_P_RNA from 2 species
GGAGCGGGACGGAUCAUCGCCGCGCACGGCUUGUCCGUGCGGGGAGGAAAGUCCGGGCUCCAGAGGGCGCGGCGCUGGGUAACUCCCAGGGGGAGCGAUCCCCGGAAAGCGCAACAGAGAGCAGACCGCCCCGCACCUACUUUAUGAUUUGUGAGCCUGUGAGUAAUGGCGUUGCACAAGAUAUAAAGUAGGUGCGGGGUAAGGGUGAAAGGGUGGGGCAAGAGCCCACCGGCUGUCGCGGCGACGCGGCAGGCCAGGCAAACCCCGCCGGGAGCAAGACCAAAUAGGGAAGCGUUUGAGGCCGGCCCGGCCGAAGCUUCCGGGUAGGUUGCUUGAGGCCGCGGGUAACCGUGGUCCUAGAGGAAUGAUGAUCGCCCCGCACCUGCUUUAUGUUUUGUGAACCGACCAAAGCUGGCGAUACACAAGAUAUAAAGCAGGUGCGGGGAACAGAACCCGGCUUACAGUCCUGCUCCGGGC